rnacentral:ncRNA from 2 species
CGAUGAGGUAGAGGUCGCGGUUUUUAUUAGUAAAAUGGACGAGAUGCAGAGACAUCAAUGACCCCAUUUGAAAGGAAAAGCCGCCGAAGUGUGCAAUUUAUCUCUGUAAAUGCAUGCUGGGGCUGUCUCCGAAUAGGGACAGAACUGUCACGCUUGGCCUUACCAUCCAUGCGUGAAGAGCUAUCUUUCGG